CUACGUAGGGAGCGAGCGUUGUCCGGAAUUACUGGGCGUAAAGGGCGCGUAGGCGGCGCUUCAAGUCGUCUGUCAAAUGGGAGGGCUUGACCCUUUUUCGCAGACGAAACUGGAGAGCUUGAGAAGCAGAGAGGCAAACAGAAUUCCUGGUGUAGCGGUGAAAUGCGUAGAUAUCAGGAAGAAUACCAGUGGCGAAGGCGGUUUGCUGGCUGCAUACUGACGCUGAAGCGCGAAAGCCAGGGGAGCAAACGGGAUUAGAUACCCCGGUAGUCCUGGCAGUAAACGAUGUAUGCUGGGUGUGAGACUAGCGAUAGUUUCGUGCCGAAGUUAACGCGAUAAGCAUACCGCCUGGGGAGUACGGUCGCAAGAUUGAAACUCAAAUGAAUUGGCGGGG
rnacentral:rRNA from 1 species